rnacentral:rRNA from 1 species
GCGUGCCUAAUACAUGCAAGUCGAGCGAACAGACGAGGAGCUUGCUCCUCUGACGUUAGCGGCGGACGGGUGAGUAACACGUGGAUAACCUACCUAUAAGACUGGGAUAACUUCGGGAAACCGGAGCUAAUACCGGAUAAUAUAUUGAACCGCAUGGUUCAAUAGUGAAAGACGGUUUUGCUGUCACUUAUAGAUGGAUCCGCGCCGCAUUAGCUAGUUGGUAAGGUAACGGCUUACCAAGGCAACGAUGCGUAGCCGACCUGAGAGGGUGAUCGGCCACACUGGAACUGAGACACGGUCCAGACUCCUACGGGAGGCAGCAGUAGGGAAUCUUCCGCAAUGGGCGAAAGCCUGACGGAGCAACGCCGCGUGAGUGAUGAAGGUCUUCGGAUCGUAAAACUCUGUUAUUAGGGAAGAACAAAUGUGUAAGUAACUAUGCACGUCUUGACGGUACCUAAUCAGAAAGCCACGGCUAACUACGUGCCAGCAGCCGCGGUAAUACGUAGGUGGCAAGCGUUAUCCGGAAUUAUUGGGCGUAAAGCGCGCGUAGGCGGUUUUUUAAGUCUGAUGUGAAAGCCCACGGCUCAACCGUGGAGGGUCAUUGGAAACUGGAAAACUUGAGUGCAGAAGAGGAAAGUGGAAUUCCAUGUGUAGCGGUGAAAUGCGCAGAGAUAUGGAGGAACACCAGUGGCGAAGGCGACUUUCUGGUCUGUAACUGACGCUGAUGUGCGAAAGCGUGGG